GACGAACGCUGGCGGCGUGCUUAACACAUGCAAGUCGAACGAUGAAGCCGGAGCUUGCUCUGGUGAAUUAGUGGCGAACGGGUGAGUAACACGUGAGUAACCUGCCCUUGACUCUGGGAUAACUGCGGGAAACUGUAGCUAAUACCGGAUACGACCCUCGGAGGCAUCUCCUGGGGGUGGAAAGAAUUUCGGUCAAGGAUGGACUCGCGGCCUAUCAGCUAGUUGGUAAGGUAAAGGCUCACCAAGGCGACGACGGGUAGCCGGCCUGAGAGGGUGACCGGCCACACUGGGACUGAGGAACGGCCCAGACUCCUACGGGAGGCAGCAGUGGGGAAUAUUGCACAAUGUGCGCAAGCCUGAUGCAGCAACGCCGCGUGAGGGAUGACGGCCUUCGGGUUGUAAACCUCUUUUAGCAGGGAAGAAGCGAAAGUGACGGUACCUGCAGAAAAAGCACCGGCUAACUACGUGCCAGCCGCCGCGGUAA
rnacentral:rRNA from 1 species